rnacentral:lncRNA from 1 species
AAAGAGGAAAGAAAUAGAAUAGCAGGGGACGAAACAGAGAAGGGAGAAAGGAAGAAAAGAAAAAGGGAAAAAUAAGGUUUUAAAGGUUCCAAGUUAAUUUGGUAAGUCAAUUUAGCCCCUUUUUUAUGAUUUUUGAGUUUUUGGAAUCCUAGAGAUAAAUACUACUUGUUUUAAGUAGAAAUUUUGAAAGUCAUUAGAUUUCUAAGUAUGGUUCAUGUUGAAUAAAAUGAUGGAAUUGGGGGUUUAUUUGAUAGAAAUUUUGAUUGGAAUUGAAUAAAGGAUUGAAUCGUAAACUAAGCUAUAAGUUUUGAGUUUUAGGGAUUAAAUGGAAAUAAAUUCGAAAUUAUGAAAAUAUGCUGGAAAUUUAAUAGUUAAGUAUGAGUUUGGACAAAAUUUGAAUAGAAAUGAAGUAUGAAUUGAGAUAGAAAAAGUAAGUAAAUCUAGUUAAGAUUAAAUUGAAAUUAAAGUAGAAAUUGAAUAAAAAUUGUAUUAAUUAGAUAUAAAUUAGUAGUGAAUUAACGAAUAUGGAUUGUUUUAAUUCCCGUAGCUAAUGUUGUCUCGGGAAACCUCGGCUAAGCAAGGAAAAAAAUGGCAAAGACAAAGGGAGUUAGCUCGAGAAAAUACGGUUUGUAUUUCUAUAAUCCGAACCUAGUUAUUAAUUGUUAUAUUUUUUUAUUCAAUGCAUUUAAUAAAUGUUGAAGUGAGAAUUAUUGUGUUUAUAAUGGAAAUGGAUUAAUUUGGUAUGUGAUGAAUUUAUAUUGAUUGAAUUAAAUUGAAUUAUAUAUUAUAAAUAUAUAUAUGUGUGUGUGUGUGUGUGUGUGUGAAUGAGAUAUUAUGCAAUUAUGAUAAUUGAAUUUUGGAUAAAUAUUAUGAUAAAUAAUUAAGAUGGGAAUUAUUUGUAUUGUGUCUUUAUAAUUGAAAUGAAUUGAUUUAGUGUGUGAUAAAUUUAUAUUGAAUUGAUUUAUGAAUAUCUGUUUUAUUGAAUUUAUAUUGAUUGAAUUAUAUAAUAUAUAUGAUUUAUGUAGAAAUUUGAAUAUUGAAUGAAUGUUAUAUUGAAAAAUAUAUUGAUUGGAAAUACGAGGAAAUUGGUAUGAAUAUAUGAGAUUGUGAUAUUUGAAUAUUUGAUAUUGAAAAAUGAAUUGAAUUGUAUUGAAUUAUGAAUUAAUGUGAAUAAUUGAAAUAUAUUGUUGAAUUGAAUGAAAUUGUAUGAAUUGUGAAAAUGGGUAAAUAUAUGUAAUUAUCUGAAUGAGAUAUUGAUGAAAGAAUUAUUAAAUUGAGAAAGUGAAUGAAAUACCCUAUUAACUAGUCGGGCUAAGUCGGAUAUAAUUGGCAUGCCAUAGGAUCUGAAAGUGUACGGGAUUUGCUGGCUUUAUCGAUCAGGCACUUUAUGUGUCGUAUUUCAAGCACCUCGUGUGUCGUAUCAGGCACCUCGUGUGUCGUAUCAGGCACUUUAUGUGUCGUAUACUGAUCAGGUACUGUGUACCGUUUUAGGCACAAUGUGCCGUACUGGCGUGUUUGAGUUGGAAUCCGUGUAUCCGUCAAAGUCCGGGUUUGUUAAUAGGGGUAAAUAAGUGAAAAAAUAAAUCGAGUGAAUUUGAUUGAUUGAACUAUUGGAAUGAAAUGAGAAAUUGAAUUGAGAAUUGAAAUUGAGAUAUGAGAUUGAAAACAUGAACCAAAAGGUUCAUGAAAUGAGUGAAGUUCAAAUGGAUGAUGAUUGAUGUUAGAAUGAAUUAAAAUGGUAUAUUGUUAAGAAGUAAAGUGUGAAUACAAGUGAAUUUUGAAUAUAUUGAAAGAAUUUAUACAGUAAGCAAAUGAAAAGAAUUGAGCAAAUAUGUUUGUUGUGUUUGUUAUAUGGCUUGUAUAGAAUUUUUAUGGUAAGUAAAUGAAACUUAUCUAUAAAAUAAAUAAAUGAAUGGUUAUAUUUAUCAUUGUGAUUUUAAGUUUAAUUGUUAUAUUAUCAAGUGUUCGGAUUAUAGAAAUACCACUGAGUAUACCAUACUCAGCGUACGGUUUGUUUCCGUGCGCAGGUUAAGUAAAGAUAGUACGUUGAAUCAGCAUCCCAGUCCGAUCCCGAAUUCAUUAAGGUAAAGUGUGUUAAUUAUUGGUAAUGGCAUGUACCUAGGAUGUCUUAUGUGUAUGUCAUUUUGAAAUUGUAAAUGUAAGGAUGAAAUAAAUAAAUUUAGAUUUGGCUAUGGUAUAAAAUAGUAUUUGACUAAUUUGGUAUGAAUUUGAAUUUUUAUGAGACAAUGUCAGAUUGAUUUUGGAAUUCCCUAUUCUGAAUUGGGAAAAUCAUUAAAAAUUGUAUAAAAAUAAUUACAGGCUAUAAUUUAUAUGCUUAGAAUCUUUAAUGAGUCUUUUUUCAAGAGAAAUAAACAGGAACAUCAUCCAAGUCCUGUGCUAUGAGAUAAUUAAAUUUUAGUAAAGAAAGGUCGAAACUGUCAAACAGCAGAUCAGGGGUAACUUUGAGGAAUAAACUGUACUAAUUGGCUAAACUAAAAAUUCUGAAAAUUUUAUGGUAGAAAGGUAUAUGAGUAUAGUUUUAAGAAAAAUUAACGGAACUUAAUUUGGAGUUUCGUAGCUCUAGAUAUAAAUAUUUUAGUGACUGUUACUCAAGAAGACAGUUUUGACAUGAACAUAAGAAAGUAAAUGAAAUUGUGUGUAAUUAUUCUGUAAACUCCGGUAAUGCUCCAUAACUCUCUUCCGGGACGGUUUGGGGUUAGGGGGUGUUAUAUAUGGUGUGUUUUGUUUGGCCUGUGUGGUGUGAUUUGUCAAGAAUGUCUGGUAAGAUUUGAAUAUCUUUUUUUAUGGUAAAAUAUGAAUAAAUUCUGAUAGUUCUGUAAUAAGUAUGACUAAGAUAAGGUAUUGGUAUGCUCAGGGUUAAGAGUUGAGUAUGAUCUAUGAAUUAAUUGAAUAAGUUACUGAAAGAACUAUGUAUCUGCAUGAUGAUAAAGGUAUCUGUCAUAAUGAUUUGAAAAUGUUGGAUAUAUAUUUGUAUCUGUGUAAUUUAAGGAUCUGUCAUUGUGAGUUUGUUUACGUUAUGAAAUGAUUGAAUCAGAGUUAACUGGAAUUUGCCAUAUCAGGGUUGUGUCUAGGAUUUAAUGACUUCUCCUGAAAUCAUAUGAAAUUUGGAAUAUGGGUAUUCUGAUUAUAUGUGGUUUUGAAAACAAUCGAUGUGGAACUUUUUUGAUGAUCUACGUAGUAUAUAAUAAUUGUAGGUUUCGGGUGAUAUCGAAUUAAUGAAUAAUUUGGUUAAUAGUUUGUUAGUAAUGAGUUAUGUAUAAGUAUUCACCAAAUGUGUUGUAUCUACCCGUGAAUUAUGUUCGUGAACAAUUUAUUUGAGUGGCGUGUAAAUUUUAGAAUCUAACCCAUAUGAAAAGGAUCCUAAGGGUAUGCUCUAUUGAGAAGUACUUAAACAACAAAGAGAAUCAAGAAAUGUAGUAAAUAAUCUUCAAUAGUUAGGUAAGAAAUAAGUGUUAUCAUAAGAGUACGAUAGCUAGCGAACAUUUAUGAAUCAAACUAUAGUGGUAUCCACCAGACUAAAUGGUUCAGAAGUAAGGUUGGGCUCAGAAGUUGUCAUAAGAAAAGAAAUUAUCCUUCAAGGUAAUUCUGUUAUUAAGCUCAUUAAGUUCUCCUAAACUUGUAGUGUUUGUUAUUGUUUCAGGUGUAUGGUAUGAUUUUGCGCCAGGAGGGACAAUGUUAGGUGUUCGCCAAGGUAGUGGCAGAGUGGGCUAUUAUGCAUACAGUGGAUAUGUAGCACAGUUAGGAAUAUGACUUAUGAGUCUGUUUUUAAUAAACUUCUAUUUUGUAAAGAUCUAUAUAAAGUCUGAUGUAACAAGAUAUUUAUAAUACUUCCGUUGUUUUCAUAUGAUAAGUUUUAAGUUAAAAUGUUAAAUAAAAUAAUUAGAGAAAUGAGAAAUUGUGAAC